rnacentral:rRNA from 1 species
AUGAACGCUGGCGGCGUGCCUAACACAUGCAAGUCGAACGGAGAUUACGGACGGAAGUUUUCGGAUGGAAGACUGUAAUUCUUAGUGGCGGACGGGUGAGUAACGCGUGGGCAACCUGCCCUACACAGGGGGAUAGCAGCUGGAAACGGCUGGUAAGACCGCAUAAGUCGGUUAAAUCGCAUGAUUUGAUCGGGAAAUGAGCAAUCAGGUAUAGGAUGGGCCCGCGUCCGAUUAGCCAGUUGGCAGGGUAAAAGCCUACCAAAGCGACGAUCGGUAGCCGGACUGAGAGGUCGGACGGCCACAUUGGGACUGAGACACGGCCCAAACUCCUACGGGAGGCAGCAGUGGGGGAUAUUGCACAAUGGAGGAAACUCUGAUGCAGCGACGCCGCGUGAGUGAAGAAGUAUUUCGGUAUGUAAAGCUCUAUCAGCAGGGAAGAUGAUGACGGUACCUGACUAAGAAGCCCCGGCUAACUACGUG